AGCACUGGGAGGACUGGGAGGGGGCACUGGGAGCGCUGGGAGGGGUACUGGGGGCACUGGGAGGGGGCACUGGGACACUGGGAGGAGGAACUGGGAGCACUGGGAUAAGUUAUGGGGGUACUGGGAUCACCGGGACAGGGCACUGGGAGCACUGGGACGGGGAACUGGGAGUGCUGGGAGGGGGAACUGGGGGCACUGGGAGCACUGGGAGGGGAACUGGGAGCACUGGGACAAGUUAUGGGGGAACUGGGAGCACUGGGACAAGGACGGGACCCCGCUGGCGGCCCCGUGGCAGGCCGAGCGCCCCGCGGGGCCGUCCCAGUGGUCGCACUGGUCGGUUACUGGUGGCACUGGGCCGGAGCCCUGGGCGCACUGGGAGCACUGGGAGCACUGGGAGCUGUCCCGCAGCCGGGUGACGCUGGCGGUGGCCCCGGGGGACGACGGAGCCACCGUGCGGUGUCACAGCCACAGCCCCGCCGGGGGGGGGGGCACGGCCAGCGUCAC
rnacentral:lncRNA from 1 species